rnacentral:rRNA from 1 species
UUCGCCCUUUUCCGGUUGAUCCCGCCGGACCCCACUGCUAUCGGGAUAGGACUAAGACAUGCUAGUCAAGCGCUUUCUAGCUAAUGUGAGAGCGCGGCGUACAGCUCAGUAACACGUGGCCAACCUGCCCUUGGGACGGGAACACCCCCGGGAAACUGGGGUUAAUUCCCGAUAGGUGAAGAAGUCUGGAAUGAUUCUUUGCUCAAAAGACGUUUAUGUCAUGCUCAUAUUCGUCGCCCAGGGAUGGGGCCGCGACCGAUCAGGUAGUUGGUGAGGCAAUGGCUCACCAAGCCUUUUACCGGUGCGGGCCGUGAGAGCGGGAGCCCGGAGAUGGGCACUGAGACAAGGGCCCAGGCCCCACGGGGCGCAGCAGUCGCGAAAAUUUUGCAAUACACGAAAGUGUGACAGAGCUAUCCCGAGUGCCAUCCGCUGAGGAAGGCUUUUACCCAGUAUAAAUAGCUGGGAGAAUAAGGAGAGGGCAAGUCUGGUGUCAGCCGCCGCGGUAAUACCAGCUCUCCGAGUAGUGUGGACGUUUAUUGGGCCUAAAGCAUCCGUAGCUUGCUAGAUAAGUCCUCUGUUAAAUCCACCGAUUCAAUCGUUGGAUUGCGGGGGAUACUGUUUGGCUAGGGGACGGGAGAGGUCGACGGUAUUUCCGGGGUAGGGGUGAAAUCCUAUAAUCCCGGGAGGACCACCAGUGGCGAAGGCUGUCGACUAGAACGCGCCCGACGGUGAGGGAUGAAAGCUGGGGGAGCGAACCGGAUUAGAUACCCGGGUAGUCCCAGCUGUAAACGAUGCAGGCU